CAAAUUGUCAAUUGUCUAGCUAUUGCUAUCAUUUUGAAUAAAAUUGUUGACAAUGUAAAUUAGAAUCUCUACCUAGAUCCUGUUUUUGAAAAUAAGCUUUGUUUAGCGGUUUCUGAGUCGUUCCUAAUGUUUUUGGUUGCAUAAGGUAAUCUUUGCUAUCCUAUGGACCUUCAGUUUGUGAGGGGUUUUAAUCGCAUUUUUUUGUCCUCACACAGUGAAGGACUUGGGGAGGAAUAUGAUGGGGGAUAUUGCUUUUGUGGGUGCACUAGAAACUUUUGGUGGAGGGCAUGAUGAUCCCAUUAGUUUGGCUUUUGGAGGCCCUGUUAUGACCAAAUUUACCAUUGUGCUGAGAGAAAUUGGGACUUACAAAGAACAUCUUCGAUCCCAACUAGCAAAGCCUCAUAACUUUGUAACUCAAGUGUAGCAGUCAACAAUAGCAAAUGGGAGUGGAAGGGCACGACAAUGAGUGGACUAUAGCCAUUGGAUAUUGUAACUCAAGUGUAGCAGUCAACAAUAGUUGUGUGGACUCAAGUGUAGCAGUCAUUAAAUUUAUUGUAACUCAAGUGUAACUCUUAAAUUUAUUGUAACUCAAGUAGAACUCUUUUAAAUUUAUUGCACAC